AUGAGAGGGGGAAACCACUUAGCAAUGAAAAGCUUGGUGCGGCUUGUCAAUGAGUGGGAGAUCCAACUACUGGUGCUUGUUAGCUUCACACUACAGCUCUUUCUCUUCUCUGUUGGUAGCCUCCGGCGGCGUAGCAGCAGCGUUGUAUUGACAGUAUUACUCUGGCUAUCUUAUUUGGGAGCGGACUUGGUAGCUGCUUAUGUCCUAGGCCUCAUCUCGCGACAAGAGGUUUCCACUCAUCAUCUGUCUUUUCUCUGGGCGCCCUUUCUCCUCAUACAUCUUGGCGGACAAGACACCAUCACUGCCUUUGCCAUUCAGGACAACAAUCUCUGGGUGAGGCAUUUGUUGAAUCUUGUUGUCCAAAUGUCCCUCACCCUCUAUAUCUUUUGGAAGUCAUUCGAUGGCGGCCCUAACAUGAAGCUUCUUUCCCCUAGCAUCCUUUUAUUUGUUACUGGCAUUAUCAAGUAUUGGGAGAGAACAUGGGCUUUGUGGUGUGGCAGUCUGAGAAACAUCAGGGACUCAGACCCAUGUCUCGCUCCUUCGGAAACGAGCAUUGAUACCUCUUCUGAUCCUGUUUUCUCUGCCUUGCGUUCAGAAAAGGCUAUGCGUCAUUUUUUUCUGGCGUCAGGUGCCCCGCUGCAGCCGCUAGCCAUUGGCAUAUAG
rnacentral:rRNA from 1 species